AUUGAACGCUAGCGGGAUGCCUUACACAUGCAAGUCGAACGGCAUGGCGAACGGGUGAGUAAUGUAUCGGAACGUGCCCAGUCCCGGGGGAUAACUACGCGAACGCGUAGCUAAUACCACAUACUCUUGAAGCGGCCGGUAUCGGAAUGGCACGUUGGGGGGGUAACGGCUCACCCAGGCGCAGAUCCCUAGCUGGUUUGAGAGGACGACCAGCCACACUGGGACUGAGACACGGCCCAGACUCCUACGGGAGGCAGCAGUGGGGAAUUUUGGACAAUGGGGGAAACCCUGAUCCAGCCAUCCCGCGUGUGCGAGGAAGGCCUUCGGGUUGUAAAGCACUUUUGGCAGGGAAGCGGUACCUACAGAAUAAGCACCGGCUAACUACGUGCCAGCCGCCGCGGUAAUUC
rnacentral:rRNA from 1 species